GACGUAGGGCGCGAGCGUUGUCCGGAUUUAUUGGGCGUAAAGAGCGUGUAGGCGGCCAGGUAGGUCUGCUGUGAAAACUCGAGGCUUAACCUCGAGCUGUCGGCGGAAACCAUCUGGCUAGAGUCCGGAAGAGGAGAAUGGAAUUCCCGGUGUAGCGGUGAAAUGCGCAGAUAUCAGGAGGAACACCGAUUGCGAAGGCAGCUCGCUGGGACGUUACUGACGCUGAGACGCGAAAGCGUGGGGAGCAAACAGG
rnacentral:rRNA from 1 species